UACGAAGGGGGCUAGCGUUGCUCGGAAUUACUGGGCGUAAAGGGAGCGUAGGCGGAUAGUUUAGUCGGAGGUGGAAUCCCGGGGCUCAACCUCGGAACUGCCUUUGAUACUGGCUGUCUUGAGUAUGGGAGAGGUGUGUGGAACUCCGAGUGUAGAGGUGAAAUUCGUAGAUAUUCGGAAGAACACCAGUGGCGAAGGCGACACACUGGCCCAUUACUGACGCUGAGGCUCGAAAGCGUGGGGAGCAAACAGG
rnacentral:rRNA from 1 species